rnacentral:misc_RNA from 1 species
AACGAGGCCGACCUGCGGCUGAGUUACCUGCGGAAGGAUCAUUACAGAGUUCGUGCCCUCGCGGGUAGAUCUCCCACCCUUGUGUAUUCUCUACAUCUUGUUGCUUUGGCAGGCCGUUGGUUCGCCAACCACCGGCUCGCGGGCUGGUGCGUGCCUGCCAGAGGACCUCUCAAACUCGGUUUGUCAGUGUCGUCUGAGUACCAUAACAAUCGUUAAAACUUUCAACAACGGAUCUCAGAU